UUGCUAACCGCUAACUGUGUUUCCGAGCUGAUUAAAUGGCUGAUGUUAAAUAACAGAGGCAUGGCGCUGUGCUAGUUAGAUUAGUAGGUUCUUAGGUUUAUUAUAAUAUGUGGAUAAUGACUUUAGUCCACUCCAGUCUUUAGUUAUCGAUCUCAGAACACUGGAAUGCAGCUAGUGGCUCAGCGCUAGCUAACAGCCGAACUCAGCAGUAAAGAUAGGAGGUUGUUAGCCUGGAAGUGAACUGAAUUCUGAGAUGAAUUAAUCGCUGAUGUUUGAUAUCAGAGUGGUGUUACUGUGCUGGUUAGAUACGCCUUGAAGACUGCUGUGGGAAGGGCUUGAUAGGUGGCAGAGACAGACCUGGGGUUCCAUUCCCAUUAUUCUAACACACCUAACAGACUCUAACAUGGAGCUGAGAAUGAGAAACCUGGACUGCUCCAUACAGGAACCAUAUCAUCUUACUGACAAAUCCAGGUUCUGUUUGGGAUCCAACAGCGGUCAGUUUUGUGGGACAACGAUAAUCACCUCUGUACUCCCUAUGGCCGGUCUAUCCCUAGCUGAACACCAGCUUCAGCAACUUAUGUGUGUACAGGAUCUACAGGCCCAGCAGCAACAUCUGUAGGCAAAUGUGCUGCAUGACGCCAUACUGAACCUGAAUACAUCCAUUCCCAACCAUGUCUCAUCUUGUGUCCAGGCCAGAUGUGUCCCAAAAAGGUACUGGAACCUCCUUUCAAAUGUAAAGUUUUUGUUAGAAAUGUGUCCUUUCGGUAUAAUAUUGUAAUCACUUAGAUAAUUAUGUCAUUCAUUUCUGCAUUGUAGAUUAAUACAAAAGUCAUUCAAACUAUGAAAAAAGGAAUUAUUUAAUAAACAAAAAAGUUUAAUGUGUUUGAGAGCA
rnacentral:lncRNA from 1 species